rnacentral:rRNA from 1 species
UACAGAGGUCUCAAGCGUUGUUCGGAUUCAUUGGGCGUAAAGGGUGCGUAGGUGGCGUCGGUAAGUCGGGUGUGAAAUUUCGGAGCUUAACUCCGAAACUGCAUUCGAUACUGCGGUGCUUGAGGACUGGAGAGGAGACUGGAAUUCAUGGUGUAGCAGUGAAAUGCGUAGAGAUCAUGAGGAAGACCAGUGGCGAAGGCGGGUCUCUGGACAGUUCCUGACACUGAGGCACGAAGGCCAGGGGAGCAAACGGG